rnacentral:lncRNA from 1 species
AUGAUGUUUGUGUCUGGCAGCUUUCCUGCACAUCCCCUGAUCUCAUUGGUGCAGCUGAACUUCAGAAAAGAAGCAGAUAUUUUCAUGCCCAGGAAUGUGAAAAAGUGCAGUCAGAACCCUACAAGUCAAAAUAAAAAGAUAUGUUGUUACGAUCUACAAAGGAAAAUACUGAAGGAAAAAUGGGGGGAAAGAGAGAAAGAGGAAAAAGAAAAAGAAGAAGAAAACCAUUUGAUUCAACAGCUGUCUGCAUGUAGAGCUUGGAUGUAGUAUCAUACUGCAUAAUGGUGUUACAUAAAUACAAGUGAUAUAGGUCAUUUUUUAUGAGUGUCAUAAGUUUUGUUCUGUGUGUGGUGGCCUCUCUGAUUGUUUGCUGUUACCUGCUGGCUUCCCAUCUAUAAAUAUUUAAUGAUACACUGCAGUUAGAUCAGGAAGAAGAACUGCAUUUAUAGUAACAAAAAAUCAAUAAUUUUUAAGCAAUUGAUUAUAACUAGCUUCACAUAUCAAAUUUGUUUCUUAUUCCCUCUGACAGACUGGCAGAUUUUCUCGUGCUUCAUUUUCUUAUUACUUAAAAAAGGCUUAUCUUCCUUUUGUGUAAGACCCAUGCAAAGGAAUUAGUUAUGUACUGAAGAGACAGUGAAGAUGUCUAAGUACAGAAUAGUACCAACUAGAUACCAUUAAAAUACAUUAAUUGUAUUUUAUUAAAAUAAUUGUAAACUGAGGAUAAAUCUUAUGCUCAACUGGAAGGGGCAGUAAACACUGUCGAAUAUUUUGCUAUACUGAUGGGAUUUCCAGACUUAACACUUGUUUGUCACCGUAAGUGAAAACUUGCCUAGUAAGUGGGGGAGAACGUUCCGUGUUUUGCUUUGUUUGGUGCUGCAUAGUUUCAGUUGACCUUCUGAGAGAAUGGAAGGACUUUUCAUGCUGGCUCUGAAUUUUUUCCUGGUAAUUGACAUCUAAGCCACUAUUAGAAAAGGUAAAGCUGGUUUGAGAAACAGCUAGAAUAGCUAUUUCUUUAUCUAUUUAUUUAUUAAUUUGUUAAUUUAUUAAUUCUGGCCAACAUCUAAGAUAAUUAUAGCACAAAUACUUACCAAUCUAAACAAAGUUUUUCUUGCCAACCAGGUUGAUUGUGUUACAUAGCAUAUCUAGCAAGGUAAGUUAGUUGUUCCCAUCGCUGGGAAGAGUAUAAGGGUUGUUAAAGAAAAAAUGGAGAUUUAUUUAAAAGGUUAAGUUUUAAGUUAUGACAGUUACAGAAGAAAAUUCUUGUCUGUUAACAUCGUUUAUGUCCUAUCAUUGCAUUUAUUGGUAGUUUGCAUAUUCUCCUCCUCUACUAUAUGUCCUUUCUGCUUUCCACAGCUGACUUACGUUAGCUUUGUCCUUUGAAUCUUUCUCAAACUGCACUUUCUUGUUUAUAUACUGCUUAUUAAAUAUUUAUUAAACAUAUCAAAGGGAAUAUUGUUUGAAGGUGCGUAAAAUGAUAAGUUUAUGGGUGCACAAGCCUCUCUUUGAGGUUACCUGAAGGGCUUACAGCCUGGAAUCUUACCAGUUUUUUUUCCCCCAUCUAAUAAUAAUAAUAAUAAUAAUAAUAUUAACAAUAACAGUAAUAAUAAACAGCAACAAAAAACAGCA